rnacentral:tRNA from 1 species
GGUGCAGUAGCUCAGUUGGUAGAGCAAUGGACUGAAAAUCCAUGUGUCGGCGGUUCGAUUCCGCCCUACACCA